UACGGAGGGUGCAAGCGUUAUCCGGAUUCACUGGGUUUAAAGGGUGCGUAGGUGGGUUGGUAAGUCCGUUGUGAAAGUCCAGGGCUCAACCCUGGAAAGCCGAUGGAUACUGCCGGGCUAGAGUUCGGAAGAGGCGAGUGGAAUUCCUGGUGUAGCGGUGGAAUGCGCAGAUAUCAGGAGGAACACCUAUAGCGAAGGCAGCUCGCUGGGACGACACUGACGCUGAGACGCGAAAGCGUGGGGAGCGAACAGG
rnacentral:rRNA from 1 species